GCUACGGCAGGGGAGAGCAAACGAGCAAGCUGUGGGCGGGAGAGCGAGAGAGAGAGAGCUGCGGGGGGAUGCCACAGGAUCAGUGCACAGCUGCACAGAUGCUCUGUGCGGGGUCAGCUAGUUGUUAGAUAUUCUACCUCACAAAAAUGACCUCACGGGUUCUUAAGAAUUUGCCUGCCAAAAAAGAUUCUAAGAAGGUAGGGCCACUUUGAAACUAAUCAAAACAAAAAGGUCAGAAGAUCUACUGCUAAUAAAUAUAUUACAACUCACAGCAUUUGUGGUCACCUUAUAUAGAAAUUGAAAGCCCUGUAGGAGUUGGAACAAUGGGGCAGGGUGGUGAGGGAAUGAAUGAUGACUGAACAAUAGACUUCAAAAGCGAUAUAAUACAUAGAUAAGCUCUGUAAAAUGUCUUUAUUCAUACUUCGGAUAUUACUGAAAACAUCCACUGCAGAGUUGCUGAAGCAAUAUCCAUAGUGCUUUAUGAAGCGACAGGAAAAGAAGAACAGGUCCCUGUUUCCAGGAACUUACAAGGGCAACCAAUCAUCAGGCUGAAGUAAACUGUUUCUACUAUAUUAGAACUGCACACUAGGCUGAACAAAAGCCUUGUGAGUGACAACCCACGCAAACUCUCGCUAGUUUGUACUGUGCUAAAUGGUCACUUGAAAAAGCUUGAAAAGGUUGUUGGAUGUUGAUACAAAAGCAUGGUUCUGUUUCCUGGGGAAUACCACAGUAAGCAAAUUAACUUCUGAAAGGCAUGUUAAACGUUUCUAUAGCAAGUGGUUGAGAAGCUCAGUUUGAGAGAUUCAUUGGAGAAAUAAAAGUCAUAUGGAAAAACUUCACACAGAGAGAUUCUCCUAAAGAGAUAUCAAAAGUUGUAAUCACUUACUGCUUC